AGACGGUCAUACCAUGCUGAAUAUACCGGUUCUCGUUCGAUCAUCGAAGUCAAGCAUCGUCGGGCGCGGUCAGUACUUGGGAGGGUGACCGCUUAGGAACACUGCAUGCCGU